AUCCCUGCGUAGUGCGUAAGAGCGAAAUUUUUAGAACCAACAAAUUAUUAAGAGGGGCUGAUCUCUGGAUACGGCGUGCAAGCUCACACAUAAUAUAGUGAGAAGCCCAUAAAUAUUUAGGUAGGCACCCACCUGUUUUUAGGAGCAGGUCCUUAAAAAUUGAAAGCUGACGGCUAAGGCGGGGGUU
rnacentral:other from 1 species